rnacentral:rRNA from 1 species
GAUGAACGCUAGCUACAGGCUUAACACAUGCAAGUCGCGGGGCAGCAGGUACAGAAGCUUGCUUCAGUACGCUGGCGACCGGCGCACGGGUGAGUAACGCGUAUCCAACCUGGCCCAUACCACGGGACAGCCCGUCGAAAGGCGGAUUAAUACCGUAUGCAGUCAUUAGGGAGCAUUUUUUGAUGACGAAAGGAUUUGGCGGUAUGGGAUGGGGAUGCGUCUGAUUAGCUUGUUGGCGGGGUAACGGCCCACCAAGGCGACGAUCAGUAGGGGUUCUGAGAGGAAGGUCCCCCANAUUGGAACUGAGACACGGUCCAAACUCCUACGGGAGGCAGCAGUGAGGAAUAUUGGUCAAUGGGCAGAGCCUGAACCAGCCAAGUAGCGUGAGGGACGACUGCCCUAUGGGUUGUAAACCUCUUUUGUUUGGGAAUAAGUGCGCCACGUGUGGCGCAUUGCAUGUACCAUUUGAAUUAAGGACCGGCUAAAUUCCCGUG